rnacentral:rRNA from 1 species
GACAGAGGGUGCAAACGUUGUUCGGAAUUACUGGGCGUAAAGCGCGUGUAGGCGGCCAUCUAAGUCGGGCGUGAAAUCCCACGGCUCAACCGUGGAAGUGCACUCGAAACUGGAUGGCUAGAGUCCUGGAGAGGAAGGUGGAAUGCUUGGUGUAGAGGUGAAAUUCGUAGAUAUCAAGCGGAACACCGGUGGCGAAGGCG